rnacentral:lncRNA from 1 species
CAAAGUUAAGGUUGCUUGACUCUUAGGCACUUCUUUGGCCAUGACCUCCUGCUUCUGGUUCUCCUGAUAAAAUGCUGGAGGCUCAGUCCAAGGUAACCAGCAAGAAGUGGGCUCAGGAGGACAGAGCUCUGGCUUCCCAAUUGCAUGUUCGUUCACAGGCUCCUACCUCUGCCAUUGCAGGUUCCUUGACUUUGGCCUUCAGUCCUGACUUAAUUUCUUUGCUUAUGGGUAAAACAAGGAAUUCCUGUCACACUGCCAACAUCACCCCCUUUCUUCUCACCCCAAGGAGAGUGCAGAGAGGAGGCGAGACCAAGCCUGCCCAGAGUUGGAGUCUUGAGACGUGAGAUUCUCCAGCUGGAGCCCUAUAAAUUGGACUGACAAAAGACAGAUUAGCAAGAGAAAUGCAAGCAGCAGUUUAUUAACAUGUGCAUCAUGAUUACACAUGGAAGUACCCAGAGGCAGAAUUAAAGAUUCAAGAUGUACCUACUUCUUCCGGGGACAACAUUCAUGAUUCUUAAAGAUUUCACAAGUGUACCUUCUAAGGGUAAGUGGCUGGAAGUAGUAAGAGGUCAAUGCCAAGUGAAAUCCUCUGGCGUUUUCUUCUGACAACCAGGAGUCUGCAAAGUGUUUCACACAGCAAAGCCCAGGAGCACAGGUCUUGCAGCCUCUGGAUAACCAACUCGUCUCUCACCAGUGGUUCAAAAAAGCCCAUGCUAUCCUCAUCCAAAUAAACUUAUGAAAUGCUUUACCAAAUGAUUUGUUCAGAACAGUGAAUACUAGACACAACUUUGUGUGGAACAAGAGGAGAUCCAGUAAUGACAAUACAUCUUUUGUUAGAAAGACUUACAAAGGCUGUGACAUUCUUCUUUGAAGUGUUGUCAUUGUGUUGGAUGGGAUGAAGUGGUUCUAGGACACACAAAAAAGGAUCAAGAACAUCUGAGAAGACUACAGAUAAGUCCUUACUGCUGAUUUUGGACACAGGUCAGCCAUAUGAAGAUUCAGAUGAGCAGUCUGUGCUUCCUUUGCCUUAUCUCUCAAGAGCUGAGACCUUAUUUCUAUUCCACCUUGAACAAUUUUGUUUGAGUACAACAUAUUUACUGAUAUGGUCAGCUCAAGUCAUUGUGGAAUGAAUACUUAGAUGCUGCGUUCUUCCAAAAACUGAGCAGAACCUCCCUUCUGUGAACAUUUUCAAUAGGUUGUUUUCAAGGCUGUUAAUGGAGUAGAAGUCAUUCCUGUGGCUGGCAUAUCUGAACUGCCUGCAUAUCAAUAUCUGUUGAGACAUAGCACCAAAUAAUCAUUCGAAGCCCAGAAGUGAAUAAGAACAAUCCAUUCACGCGUGGGACAUUUAUUGGAUAUCGUCUAUUUUAAAAACAUUGGCUCAUCACUCUGGGAUAUGAAUAAAAAAUUAGAGGAGAAAAGAUGAAUAUAAAAACAUAUGGUAACUGAAGAAGGACUGAAGAGCUGAUGGCAAGGAUUCUGUCUCAGGUGUUUCCAAAGGCAGAGAGAGUCUACGAGUCAAUUCCAAAGACAUGUGUUCUCCCUUCCUCCAAUUCAGCUACCACCAAGGCUCCACCUGGCCCUUUAGGGACUCACGCUCCACUUACAUUUCUGGGAGGAGAACAAAACUGGUUCUUCCUUAGGAACCAAAACAGUAACAUGGGCCCUGUGCUGAUCUGAAAGGUAUUUUUAUUUAAGGAAAAGACUUGGCUUUUUUCAUGUUAAGGUUAAAUAUUUUCUCUGGGGACUGUGAUGAACACCUCCUGAAAAGUAAAAAUCUAACGGUGUGUGUGUGUGUGUGUGUGUGUGUGUGUGUGUGUGUAGGUGUGUAGGACGUUUUCUCUAGAAUUCUAAAAUUUCUUUUCUUAGGUAAUAAUUUUCACAUUUGCUAAGUUCUGAAUGAAUCUAAACUAUUUUGCUUUGAGUUUGUCUUCCUAUUACUAAUCCAUUUUCUGCUCUAGAAGAUUUUGAAGAUAAGGUAGGUUUUGAACUUAGCCCACUGACUGCCAAGCAAUAGUCAUUUACAUGGAAAGCAAAAAAAAGAAGUUAUUGGCAUCAGAAUUGACUCAGUCAUUAAAAUAUUCCACACCUAGAUUUCUCAAAGAACUAAAAACAAAACUACUAUGUGACCCAAUCUCACUACUGGGGAUACACCCAAAGAGAAAGAAGUCAUUAUAUCAAAAAGAUGUCUGUACUCAAAUGUUUAUCACAACGCUGUUCACAAUAGCAAAGACAUGGAAGCAACUGAAGUGUUCAUCAGUGGAGGACUGGAUAAAGGAAAUGGGAUAGACUAUUCACCAUGGAAUACUUGUCCAUCCAUAGAAAAGAACAAAAUCAU